GCAUGGUGAUGAUGAACUUAAGAUCUUCCGAUUGAUUCGUCAUGACAGGAAAAUAAUACCUCCUACUCAUUCUGA
rfam:Vitis vinifera, whole genome shotgun sequence of line PN40024, unoriented chromosome 18, chr18